CCUUGUACACACCGCCCGUCACACCAUGGGAGUUGGUUCUACCCGAAGGCGCCGCGCUAACCCGCAAGGGAGGCAGGCGACCACGGUAGGGUCAGCGACUGGGGUG
rnacentral:rRNA from 1 species